CCGGUUCCCUUAGGACUGCGACCCCUAAACUCUGAGAUUUGGGACCCUACAGCUGCAUUUCCAGAUGGGUGAAAGAACAGCAGGACGGUGCACAGGCUUGAGAAGGGACUGGUGGGCUGCAGGGCAGAAGGACCCUCAGGGGACACAAGGAGCCAGAGACUCUCUCCCAGGAAAGACAGACUGCGGGACAGAAGGGGUCUGCAAAGGUCCUGAGCGAUUUUAGAGCCAAAGGAGGCAUCUGAGCACCCCAGUGCCUUUGGGACAAGCCCAGGUAAGGGGUCUGA
rnacentral:lncRNA from 1 species